CCGCGGGAUUAGAGUUUGAUCCUGGCUCAGGAUAAACGCUGGCGGCGUGCCUUAGGCAUGCAAGUCGAACGAGAGUAGCAAUACUCUAGUGGCAGACGGGUGAGUAACGCGUAGGAAUCUACCCCUGGGUGGAGCAUAGCCGGCCGAAAGGUCGGGUAAUUCUCCAUAGUCUCGUAAGAGUAAAGGACUUAACGGUCCGCCGAGGGAGGAGCCUGCGUCCCAUCAGCUAGUUGGUAGGGUAAAAGCCUACCAAGGCAAUGACGGGUAGCUGGACUGAGAGGUCGAUCAGCCACAACUGCACUGAGACACGGGCAGUACACCUACGGGUGGCAGCAACCAGGAAUAUUGCGCAAUGGACGAAAGUCUGACGCAGCGACGCCGCGUGGAGGAUGAAGGCCCUCGGGUUGUAAACUCCUUUUGCCAAGCCGUUCACAGCUUGGCGAAUAAGCCCCUACUAACUACGUGCCAGAAGUCUCGGUAAUACGUAGGGGACAAGCGUUAUCCGGAUUUAUUGGGCGUAAAGUGUGCGUAGGCGUUCCAUAAAGUCCUCGCUUAAAGACCAAGGCUUACCCUUGGGAAUGGUAAGGAUACUCAUGGAAUGGAGGAUUGGUAAGGGUGCUGGAACAGUUAGUGUAGCAGUGAAAUGCGUUGAUAUUAACUGGAACACCAAGUGCGAAGGCAGGCACCUGUACUCUUCCUGACGCUGAGGCACGAAAGCUAGGGUAGCGAAACAGAUUAGAUACCUGUGUAGUCCUAGUCGUAAACGAUGUCCGCUAAGUGUCCCCGAUCUAAUCGGGGGUGCUUCAAGCUAACGCAUUAAGCGGACCGCCUGGGGAGUACGGCCGCAAGGCUAAAAACUCAAGGAAUUGAC
rnacentral:rRNA from 1 species